GACGAACGCUGGCGGUGUGCUUAACACAUGCAAGUGGUGCGACGAACCAGAGCUUGCUCUGGGGCAAAGCCGCGAACGGGUGAGUAACACGUGGGUAAUCUACCCCGAUGACCGGGACAACCCGAGGAAACUCGGGCUAAUACCGGAUGUGGUGCGGAGACAUAAGUCUCUUCACUAAAGGUAGCUUCGGCUUCCGCAUUGGGAGGGGCCCGCGGCCCAUUAGCUUGUUGGUGGGGUCAAGGCCUACCAAGGCAACGAUGGGUAGCUGGUCUGAGAGGACGGUCAGCCACACGGGGACUGAGACACGGCCCAGACUCCUACGGGAGGCAGCAGUGGGGAAUCUUGCGCAAUGCGCGAAAGCGUGACGCAGCAACACCGCGUGAGGGAAGAAGGCCUUAGGGUUGUAAAGCUCUUUCAGAUGGGACGAAGGUGCUCCGGUGAAUAGCCGAGAGGAUUGACGGUACCGGCAGAAGAAGCUCCGGCUAACUACGUG
rnacentral:rRNA from 1 species